rnacentral:miRNA from 1 species
UGUGCAAACCCACGCAGAACUGA